GUAGGGAAUAUUGCACAAUGGAGGAAACUCUGAUGCAGCGACGCCGCGUGAGUGAUGAAGGCCUUCGGGUCGUAAAGCUCUGUCGCAGGGGAAUAACACAAUGAAGGUACCCUGUAAGAAAGGAUCGGCUAACUUCGUGCCAGCAGCCGCGGUAAGACGAGGGAUCCUAGCGUUGUUCGGAAUCAUUGGGCGUAAAGCGGAUGUAGGUGGCUAUGUAAGUCAGAUGUGAAAGCCUGGGGCUCAACCCCAGAAGUGCAUUUGAUACUGCGUAGCUUGAGUGUCGGAGAGGUUACUAGAAUUGUUGGUGUAGUGGUGAAAUACGUAGAUAUCAACAGGAAUACCGGAGGCGAAGGCGGGUAACUGGCCGAACACUGACACUGAGAUCCGAAAGCGUGGGGAUCAAACAGGAUUAGAUACCCUGGUAGUCC
rnacentral:rRNA from 1 species